UACAGAGGGGGCAAGCGUUAUUCGGAAUUAUUGGGCGUAAAGGGCGCGUAGGCGGCCUGCUAAGUCGAACGUGAAAUCCCCGGGCUCAACCCGGGAACUGCGUCCGAUACUGGCAGGCUUGAAUCCGGGAGAGGGAUGCGGAAUUCCAGGUGUAGCGGUGAAAUGCGUAGAUAUCUGGAGGAACACCGGUGGCGAAGGCGGCAUCCUGGACCGGCAUUGACGCUGAGGCGCGAAAGCCAGGGGAGCAAACGGG
rnacentral:rRNA from 1 species